rnacentral:lncRNA from 1 species
UCACCCGCUGUCCAUAGUGGUUCUGCCGGCCGGAAAUUGCAACCACCGGCCGACCGCUGUCCAAACACCACAAAUAUUAUACCAUUCUUCUCGCCCCGCUCUCUUAUUUUUUAUUCCAAACAUCAAAACCUUAAAAAUCCUUCCCAAAUUUGUAGAUCUAGACUAGGUCGAACCUAACCAUCGUCUACCAUCUCCAAACCCCAAAAUAAUUAUACCAUCGGCCUCCUCUAACUCUACUCUUUUCUAUUCCAUAACCCAAAACCUUCAAACCUCUCCGAAUUCUAGCCGAAUUUCGGCCAGCACUCCCAUGGCUAUCCAAAUACAACCAAGCACGUUGAGCCUCUAUUUUGCCUAGAUACGACCUAGGAAUGACUCUUUCUAGGCGAAAUGAUGUUGAAAUCAUUGCUCGUCUUUUCUGAAUUAGUGGUCCUAACAUCUGUCAUCCACAAAAAUUCGUUCAUUCAUAUCAUUCGAAACUGAUAGCUUCGUUCCUGAUAUUCAUGGAUAGUUUCAAGGACGCUUUUGGGUAUAACCUUCACUCCUUCACUCUUUUUUUAUGUUAAAAGUAAUAGGUUUAGUUUUCUGAUUUUGCUUUCUCUUGUUAUCAAAUUACUAUUAAUUAGGGUUUUGAUCUAAUAUGUUUGUUGGUUAGCUAUCUCUAUUUAGCUUAUGUGAUUAUCAAAUUGUCAUCAACCAGAAGGGUCUUCAAGUGUAUUUAAAUCGUUUGCUUAGUUAGUCAUUUAUUUAGUUGUUGUUAGUCGUUGUCGGAUAGUUAACAAUGCUCGUUUAAUUUUUGUUUCGCACUUUAGUUGGUGAAUGAAGUUGUUUUCCAUGUUAGUUUGUACAAAUCAAAUUGUUGUAGUUUACUUAGUUUGAGUGUUAGUUCCAUUUGAAAAUCUUGUUUAUUGUUUUUGCAAUUCUUAGUUGUUUGAAUUUGAUUUGGUUCAAAAUCAAGGGUUUGGUACUAUUUUAGUUCAAAACUAAAGUUUAGUUAGUGUAGUCAUGAAAUAGGGUAGACUAGUAGCUUACUUUAGUACUAGAGUAGUUGAAAACACAUUUUCCUCCAUGCUUUUGCCACUUUAGCUGGUUUGGACUGUCCUUUUCCUUUUGGACAGCUCUUAAACAGAUUUUUAGCACACAAAAGUAAGUUUUUUGGGCAGGUAUUUGGUAGCAAAGUUAGUCCAUUUGGACAGCCUUUUGGUAAACCAAAAUCUAUCCAAAGGGUACUUUUCUUUCCUACUUAAGAGUUCAUUUCUCACACACUUAAGACACAUCUUUUACACACAAAAAAACACAAAAACUUGAGAGAAAUCAGUUGAACUUCAAGAAUAGUAGGCUAAAACUUGAGAGCUUUGAGUGAGUUUUAUGAGAAACAAAAAUACUUCAAAGAAUAAAGGUCUUUGAAGUUAGUUUCUGGGUUUCUCUAUCUCCGAAAGUUAUAUGAGCUUUUCAGGUCUAUUCCGGGUUGUCUUUUUGGUUUUUUUACUGAUGUUACUGCUAGUUACUAGUUGCUGAUUUUCGGGUACUUUAGUUGGGUUUCUAUUUUGUUUUUCGACUUUCUACAAUAUAGGUACCUCGAAUCUUGUAAUGCAGGUUUAUAUAUUGAAUAACUAAAGACGUGGUUUUGUUUGGCACUUUGAAUUUGUUUGGUACAUUCAUAUACAUUGCAUAUUUGUUCAUGUAGGCCCCCGAUAUUUUAAAUAAGGUCAUAUUGGAUAAUUAGCAAAUAAAACAUACGACAAAAAAAAAAAAGAAAUGAUGAAAAUGAAACCCAUUAGAAAGUAUUACCUGCCAAGGUUAAGGGUUUAAAAAGCAAAGGAUUCCGAAGGAAACGAGAAACAGAAAGAAACAAAAGCAGAGAAAGAAAGGAAGAAAAAAGUGGAAGAAGAAGAAGUAGAAGAAAAAAAAGCUUUGGUCAAAGGCUUAAGAAGAAUUAGGAGUUGAAAUAGAAAGUAUUAAAGCUCUCCUUCAAUUCAAGAGGUUAACCUUCUUCUCCUUAUCUGUUGAAUUAUUUCACUGCAUCUAUGUAGUUUCAUAUAGUACAAAAGAAUUCAAUAUCAACUUUCUCUUAUAUAAAAAGAAAUAUAUAAUUACUAUGGAGAUAACAAGUCUAUAAAGGUUUGGUUUAAGCACUGAUAGAUCUAAUUUUAGAGGAAUAAAUUAUGCUAAAUAGUUUAAAAUUGAUAGAAUUAUGGAAUAUUUCUAUGAUUAAAUAUAAACUCACAAAUUAAGACUCAAACAUGAAUCCUGAUGAUUGAGUAUUCGAAAUUAGCUAUGAGUUAGCCUAAACAGGAAAAUACACGUGAGAUUGAUAUUAUGUAAUUAUAGAUUGAUUGGAGGAAUUUAUGCGAAUUGCUCGAGGUGAAGCAUUUGGUUUUUCAGUACGAGUACGGUGAGUAGUAAUCUUAUCGUAAUUUGUAUUUUCACAACUUGCAUGAUUUACAAAUGAUUUUUAUAUGAAUAUGUUAUGAAUUAUUUUGAAUUUCGUGUGGG